AAUGCCGGGGCGAUCCCUGUUGUAGAAUUUUGAGUGAAGAAUGAACUUGGCACCGCACCUAUAGUGCUGUACUAACCUUGUUAGGCUAUGCUAUUGGGUAGGUAAGUGUGUGGUAUGGGAAUGUAUACACAGUUUGCAGAUUUGUGGAACAGCUAUGGGGACUGUUUGCCCCUUGCUACGCAAAUGUUUAUAUGGGAUCAUUCGAGAAAAGGAUCUUUGAUCCCUGAAUUAUUUUUUACAAACAUUUUAUUUAGAUAAUUUGAUUAUUAUUUGCAAAAUAUAUAGCCGAUCUGUCGCCUAGGUUCAAUGCAUCACACUGCUGCUCAGCCUAUCGCCGGACGAGGCAGGACAUCGCUGCAGCCAACAAUUUGUUCACAGGCAUUGUAAUGGGCUGACCAUGGCCGAAUCAUGAAGAAGACAGCGGUAGAGGAGCGGAGAAACAUACCAGGACACCAGGGGAGCGUCAGCAAACAAUCUCCCUUAAGGAAACAACUAAGACGAAACACCACUUAGGGUACCGGUGGUCCAGACAGUGGACACGAUACAUGGUUAGCAGCAACAGUCUGGUCCAACCAAGAUCUAAGAGCUGUCACACGAGCGUAUACAGCGGGAGUAGAUGUGGAGCAGGAAGAGCUUCCCCAGGAUACAAUACCGGCCAAGGUCCAAGCUCCAUUUCUCUGGCACACAAGAGGUCCACCAGAGUCACCCUACAUAGGGAGUAAAAUAAAUUUAUAUUUGUUCUUAUGUUUAUUAUGAAAUCAUAGAGCAAAGUAAUUCUGAUUAUUCCCAACAAGAGUAAUUUUUAUAAGUCAUGUUUGGGUAGCAAAAAAAUGAUGUCCUUAAAAGGAACCCAUUUGGAAGUUAGACCAUCCUAACCUGCUGAUAUGGACUAACAGGGCACAGGUUAAGUAAGUAACAUGGUACCUUCUCUAUUUUCCUCCCAAUGUGCUCUAUAAUUAAUUUUAAAAUAUGUAUAAUAGGGCAUUCGGUGCAUUGAGGGCUUUCCUAUACCCCUAGGUGUACCAAUCCCCCAUCCACUAGCACCUGUAGAAGUGUCAGUGAGUCAAGUCACUGCAGAAGAUGAAUCAAUAUACAAUCAAGAUACCAUAAUAAAGGUAUCGUAGUAUUUACUGUACUGUAACCUAUUAGCC